rnacentral:rRNA from 1 species
GAUCCUGGCUCAGGAUGAACGCUGGCGGCGUGCUUAACACAUGCAAGUCGAACGAAGCACUUUACUUGAUCUCUUCGGAGUGAUUGUUCUGUGACUGAGUGGCGGACGGGUGAGUAACGCGUGGGUAACCUGCCUUGUACAGGGGGAUAACAGUUGGAAACGACUGCUAAUACCGCAUAAGCGCACAGGACCGCAUGGUCUGGUGUGAAAAACUCUGGUGGUAUAAGAUGGACCCGCGUCUGAUUAGAUAGUUGGUGAGGUAACGGCUCACCAAGUCGACGAUCGGUAGCCGGACUGAGAGGUUGAACGGCCACAUUGGGACUGAGACACGGCCCAGACUCCUACGGGAGGCAGCAGUGGGGAAUAUUGCACAAUGGGCGAAAGCCUGAUGCAGCAACGCCGCGUGAGGGAAGACGGUUUUCGGAUUGUAAACCUCUGUUUUCGGUGACGAACAAAUGACGGUAACCGAGUAGGAAGCCACGGCUAACUACGUG